rnacentral:lncRNA from 1 species
GCAUGGUUAUAUAUCCUGGCUUGGUAAAAGUUGUGCAAUUUGAGAGGUAGAGGAAAACCCCACAGUGUCUUCCAUGAGAUACUGACUCUUAUUUUCCUUGGUGCUAAAAUCAAAUGAAUCGAGUCCUUGUACAAGUUAUUAAUUGCCUUUGAAAAUCUGGCCAAUUUUAUUCCAGGCCUUUAAAAUAUAAAACAAAUGCCAGCAAGUGGUUCUUAUGUAUUUGGGGUGGGCAUACAACUUAUUUUUCUUUCCUCUUGAUUUUUAAAAAUUUAUUGUUGAUCUUUUGAAAUGGACCAAGGCUUUUUUUAAAGGAUUAUAGUAAUCAUAUCACUCUUAUAAUGCCUUACUAAAAGC